AUUGAGCGCUGGCGGCAUGCUUUACACAUGCAAGUCGAACGGCAGCGAGGAGAAGCUUGCUUCUCUGUCGGCGAGUGGCGAACGGGUGAGUAUAGCAUCGGAACGUGCCAAGUAGUGGGGGAUAACCAAACGAAAGUUUGGCUAAUACCGCGUAAGCUCUAAGGAGGAAAGUAGGGGACCUAAAUAAGGCCUUACGCUAUUUGAUCGGCCGAUGUCGGAUUAGCUAGUUGGUGGGGUAAUGGCUCACCAAGGCAAUGAUCCGUAGCGGGUCUGAGAGGACGAUCCGCCACACUGGGACUGAGACACGGCCCAGACUCCUACGGGAGGCAGCAGUGGGGAAUUUUGGACAAUGGGGGAAACCCUGAUCCAGCCAUGCCGCGUGUAUGAAGAAGGCCUUAGGGUUGUAAAGUACUUUUGUUAGGGAAGAAAAGCUAGUUUUUAAUAAAAAUUAGUGAUGACCGUACCUAAAGAAUAAGCACCGGCUAACUACGUG
rnacentral:rRNA from 1 species